GCAUCUUAUUCCUUGGAGUUGAUGCCAGGGAGAGCAGCAGAUGGAAAGGGGAGUGAGCUGAGAGUCUAGUUUCUGCCUUCCACAAAGGAAGACAUUGGGCAGAGUUUGGCACUCCAUCCUUCAGCCCUGCAAUCAGAAGGAAGAGGAGGGCAAAGGAGGUGGGAUCGGUCAAGGCCUGAGUUAGCAGCAUGGCGGGCUGACAACAACGUUCAAGAUGCUUCGCAGGCAAGAACAGGCUGCAGGCAGACAGAAGACACACUCAAACACACGAUCCUCUUUGUUGACCUGGGCCAGUGGUGAAAGAGGAUGCACAUUAGCGUAUUCAGAGUCCCUGCUGCAAGUAUCUCCUGUCUCCAAUCCAUCAUCCACAGGCUGCCAAAUUGAUGUUCAUAAAGCACAGGUUUGACCAUGUCAUUCCUCUUCUUAAGAAGUUCAGUGAUUCCC